rnacentral:rRNA from 1 species
UACGAAGGGAGCUAGCGUUGUUCGGAAUCACUGGGCGUAAAGCGCACGUAGGCGGAUUGCUAAGUCAGGGGUGAAAUCCUGGAGCUCAACUCCAGAACUGCCUUUGAUACUGGUGAUCUUGAGUCCGGGAGAGGUGAGUGGAACUGCGAGUGUAGAGGUGAAAUUCGUAGAUAUUCGCAAGAACACCAGUGGCGAAGGCGGCUCACUGGCCCGGUACGUGACGCUGAGGUGCGAAAGCGUGGGAG